rnacentral:sRNA from 1 species
GCUAGGCAUGGUAGCCCAUGCCUGUAAUCCCAGCUGCUUGGGAGGCUGAGGCAGGAGGAUCUGGAGUUCAAAGCCAGCCUUAGCACUCUAGCGAGGCCCUAAGCAACUUAAGGAGACCCUGUCUUUA